rnacentral:lncRNA from 1 species
GAACUUAUGGGAAAAGAGGCGUGUGUGGAGUAUAGAAAAUGAUGUAAUCAACAUACACAUUAAUACCUUUAUAAAGUGUAUUUACAGAAAACAGUACAAUUUACAAUGAAUAAAUACCAAUGACUACAACAAUAUAAAUUAAAAAAAAAAUUAGAGCUCUAAAAGAAUAGAUGAGCCACCCACAUGUUAGAGAGCAAGGAUACCAAGGUGGAAUCUUGAAACAAUUACAUGUCUAAUGAACCGAAUCAUAAAACAUCAAGGCAUGUGUUCCAUGUCUGCCCCUUCUGUUUCACUUCAUGGGCUAGUAAUUUAUUUUUACGUUGUUUUUUACAUUUAGAUUUUUUUUUCAAGGUUGACUGGAACUAUAGCAGGCUGGUUGCCAUGGAAACUUUAAGAACAUUGAUCUAGAAUGGCACUAAGGCAAUGGGUUUACUUUUCUUAUCAGUCAAAUCACAUAAAAGAAGGCUGGGAAAAGCCCUUUUACCAUCUAGAUGACAGUAUCAUGAGGGCUCCUGGGCCAGGCAGUGUUCUCUACAUAACUUUGGUUAUGGAAACAUGGUUAUGACAUCUGUAGCGGGUGUGGGUGUAUUUCCAGAGUCUAAAUGGCAAACUGAGAGUUUGACACAUGAAGACAACCUGAGGUUUUGCCUUCCCUUUAUAAGAGUUUUCCCUUUCAAUGUGAGAACUGAUAGCAUCAUAGGACAAAACCCUAUGGACUGAAGAUGGACUUCCUGCACUGACUUGAUGGAUCUGGAUGGAGUGUGGGUUUCUUUGUUUCUCCUGUGUCCCCAUGUGAUGGAGAUACUGCACAUUAGUAGAUUGCUAAUUCAAGGAUUAAUUAUUCUAAUUUCUGUCUAUGCUCUCUUACCUGAUUUCUGACAGAAGACUCUACUCCACCCUGAACAGAAACUUGGUACAUGUGCUCGGAAGUUGCUACAGGCUCCUGGGAGAUGUUUUACCUUUCCACUAGUCUAGUCAUCUGACAUGGUGUUUCCUAAAGGACUAGGAAGCCAUUUCAUUUUUCUGGGUCUGGAGAGAGGGCUGAGUAGACAAGAGUGUUUGCUCCCUUCAAGAGGUACCCAAGAUCCGUUUGUAGCACUUCAAAUAAGUUCAAAUCAGAUCAGAUAACUUCAAAUCCUAUGGCUACAUCACAUGCUUUUUUCCAUGCCUGGGUAUCCAUACACUUAUAGCAGACAUUCGCUCUCAGAAGUUGCUACAGGCUCCUGGUUGCAUGCCUGGGUAUCCAUACACUUGUAGCAGACAUUCGCUCUCAGAAGUUGCUACAGGCACCUGGGAGAGGUCUGGAGAGAGGGCUGAGUAGACAAGAGUGUUUGCUCCCUUCAAGAGGUACUCAAGAUCUGUUUGUAGCACUUCAAAUAAGUUCAAAUCAGAUCAGAUAACUUCAAAUCCUAUGGCUACAUCACAUGCUUUUUGCAUGCCUGGGUAUUCAUACACUUGUAGCAGACAUUCGCUCUCAUAUACAAAUGAUUUAUUUUCUUUUUCUGGGCCACAUGUUCUUGUGAAUCUGACGAAAUGCCAAAACUCAACUUCUUUUAAUGACAAAAGGCUCUCAAGAAAUAGUUUACUGAAAGAACUCACUUUGACAUAAAACAGACCUCACAUUCAAGCCCUGGAAGUGGCUAAAUAAAUAUUUAACACUUUCUGAUUUUUUAAUUGUUACAAAAACACUUAAAACCACUCCCAGAGACUUUAUACCAUGCCUGUCUACAUAUCGUCAGUUGUGUGGUGUCGUCUCUCAAGUCUCUGCGUUUCCUUUUCAUUUUCCAUUCAGUUUAGAUUCAAGGACUUUCAUGCCUCUGUAUUUAAUUUUGCUCGAGUUUUCUACUACCAUCUGUGGCAGCUGUUGAGUCUUCUAAAAAUUAUGUGUGUACUUUUAUCUUCUAUAAUUCCAUUUACAUCUUCUUACUACCUUUUUCCUCCAUCAUGUAUUAAAUGUUAACCUACAAAUGUGACAGACAGGCUGCCUGAUGUGGCAAAGCCACCACUCUUUAUUGUUUCAUAAUAACGCAGUUUUUAGAAUAGCUCCAUUCAGCCAUGGGUUUGUUCACUGCUCCUUUGUAGACAUUUUCAAAAUUUCUGCUGGAUCAUAGUAUUGAGGCCAUGUGGAGGAGAUUUUCAGCCUUCUAAAUGUGUGUGCAUUAUGUAUUUUUCCCACAUGCAUGGUUAAAUUCAAUUUGAAUAGUUAGGAAUUAGGUCAUUGGGUCAUGAAGGAG